rnacentral:rRNA from 1 species
AUUGAACGCUGGCGGCACGCUUUACACAUGCAAGUCGAGCGGCAGCGCGGAAGGGCCUAGCCCUUCUGGCGGCGAGCGGCGGACGGGUGAGUAACGCAUGGGAAUAUGCCCGACAGAGGGGGAUAACUUUGGGAAACCAAAGCUAAUACCGCAUACGCUCUACGGAGGAAAGCGGGGGAUCUUCGGACCUCGCACUGACGGAGUAGCCCAUGUCCGAUUAGCUUGUUGGGGUGGUAACGGCACACCAAGGCAAUGAUCGGUAGCUGGUCUGAGAGGAUGAUCAGCCACACCGGGACUGAGACACGGCCCGGACUCCUACGGGAGGCAGCAGUGGGGAAUAUUGGACAAUGGGGGCAACCCUGAUCCAGCGAUG